UUCCCUAAGACCUUAACCCUAAUUUUGCUUGGAGACAGCCACAGCCGGCGGCGUGUGUUGCGGCGCGAGUGGUGGCGUGCGUUGCGGCGCGGGCGGCGGGCGCGGCGUGCGGCGGCGGCGGCGCGGCGAGCCGAAGACCACGCCAGCACGGGGGCAGCACGGCAGGGGCGGCCGCCGGCUGGGCGCACCGGCGGAGGCGGGAGCCGCGGCGCAGUGCCGGCAGCGGCCGUCGGCCGAGUGGGCACGAUUUCCGGCAAGACACCGGAACAGAUGAGGGAGACGCUUUCGAUUAAGAACGAAUUCACGCCGGAGGAGGAGGCGGGGCACGAUAGGAUAAAAAAGGAGGUAUUCGCUGAUUGGGCCUCUGGGUCGGCUACGCUCAAGCAGCGAGCCGUCGUCGCAAUCCCUUCCCGUCAAGUCAGAGCGCGAGUCUCGGGGCGGAGCGUUUCGUCCUCCGCCGCAGCAGUUCCGCCGCCGUAGCCCCUAAUCAUCCGUCGUUGCCGCCAUUUAGUUCCGCCGCCGGCGCCAAUGCCGGCUGGGAGUUUUUAGUUCGCCCACCGCCCACCGCCGCCGGCCAUCCCGGACAGAGCAGCGCAAUCCCCUACUGUGUUCUCCUUCUGUCAGUUCCGUCGCCAUCGCCGGUUGAUCCAAUCGUUUCGUCGCCACGCCAUCGCCUGUGUUGCUGUAUGUAUAGAUUAGCUGGCAAGAUUAUUUGUAUUGGAGCAGAAGUACUUGCAUGUUAUGUUUUUUUCACUUGAGCUAAACUGUACGAGUAGCUAUUAAUCAGUUCUGUUUAAGUGCAAAAUAUCCAUGCAGUGUGCCUGGAUUUGAAGA